GACGGAGGAUGCAAGUGUUAUCCGGAAUCACUGGGCGUAAAGCGUCUGUAGGUUGUUUAAAAAGUCUGCAGUUAAAGGUUGAAGCUUAACUUCAAAAAUGCCGUAGAAACUUUUAAACUAGAGGAUGGUAGGGGUAGAGGGAAUUUCCAGUGGAGCGGUGAAAUGCGUAGAGAUCGGAAAGAACACCAACGGCGAAAGCACUCUGCUGGGCCGACACUGACACUGAGAGACGAAAGCUAGGGGAGCGAAUGGG
rnacentral:rRNA from 1 species